UACGUAGGUGGCAAGCGUUGUCCGGAUUUAUUGGGUUUAAAGGGUGCGUAGGCGGCUUUGUAAGUCAGUGGUGAAAUAUGGCAGCUUAACUGUCAAGGUGCCAUUGAUACUGCAGAGCCUGAGUACAGAUGAGGUAGGCGGAAUUGACGGUGUAGCGGUGAAAUGCUUAGAUAUCGUCAAGAACACCUAUAGCGAAGGCAGCUUACUAAGCUGUAACUGACGCUGAGGCACGAAAGUGUGGGGAUCAAACAGG
rnacentral:rRNA from 1 species